rnacentral:rRNA from 1 species
CAGUAGCCGCGGGAAUACGAAGGGGGCUAGCGUUGUUCGGAUUUACUGGGCGUAAAGGGCGCGUAGGCGGACUGAUAAGUCAGGGGUGAAAUCCCAAGGCUCAACCUUGGAACUGCCUUUGAUACUGUUUGUCUUGAGUUCGAGAGAGGUAAGUGGAACUGCGAGUGUAGAGGUGAAAUUCGUAGAUAUUCGCAAGAACACCAGUGGCGAAGGCGGCUUACUGGCUCGAAACUGACGCUGAGGCGCGAAAGCGUGGGGAGCAAACAGGGUUAGAUACCCGCGUAGUCCCUGUCUCUUAUAC